AAUUGUUCCUCCAAACCAGUGUUGCCAGAUCAAUGUUUCACGUUUCUGCUCAGGGCAAUCUGGAGAAGUCGCAGUCCUCUGCAGCUGUUGUCUUCCCCGAUCAGUGACUUGCUUCUGAUAGCAUAUCAAUAUGCAGUUCUCCGUGAAAUUGGUUAUUCUUUAAGGUGCGUGACACAAUGGUCUCGUUUCCAUGAGUUUCCUAGGCCUGUUCUGAUUUCCAAGAGCGUAGAGGCAAAGAGCCAGGAAAAGUUUAGGCACAUCAAGAUUGAGGGAGGGGAACCAUGUUUGAAAGGGGGCACCUGGCUUGCUAAGUUGCAGUUGGAGUCUGGAUAGAUUAGGAUCUGGUCACUGUUUUUUUUUUUUGUGCAUCAAUAUAAGCUUUGUUUAAAACAUUUAGAAAUCAAACAGAUAUAGAUAUGCAUAGGAAUGUGUUGUUCAUCAGCAUCAUUUAUUAAGUAGUCUCAGUUUUGUACCAAACAGUAUGACUUAAGCACUGCAAUGCAUUUGGCCAAACAAUUACUAGAAUAUAUAGAAAUUGUUUGUGCGUAAUAUAGCGUUGAUAUAUAAAAAAUGGCAUCAAAAACACAAUUGCACAUUGUUAUAAUGGAUGAAGGUAUUUUAAUGCAUUAAAGCUGGCGACCAGCAUCUUUUCCAGUAGCUAUAUACAAACAUAAAACUGAGCAAUUUGUUUUCUCAGUAAUAUAAAAAAAGAAAUUAAACAAUAUUUUUU